UUAUCAUGAUGAGUUUUAUUGGUCCGUGUUGCUGAUUUACAGUGACUUUAACAUAACCAUGUCUGAUUAA